CCCUUAGAUGUCCUGGGCCGCACGCGCGCUACACUGAGUGUCUGAGAUACGAGUCUGCCUGGUCCGGCAAGGUCUAGGUAAUCGCUAAAAGACACAUCAUGCUUGGGAUAGAUUAUUGCAAAUAUUAAUCUUGAACGAGGAAUUCCUAGUAAGCGCAAGUCAACAGCUUGCGUUGAUUACGUCCCUGCCCUUUGAACACACCGCCCGUCGCUACUACUGAUUGGAUGUUUAAGCGAGGUUCUCGAACUGCUAGCGACUUAGCUUCGGUGAGGUCGCAGUGUGGGAAGUGAACCUAGCUUUGGUGUCUAGAGGAAGUAAAAGUCGUAACA
rnacentral:rRNA from 1 species